GGAAUAAGUGUUAGUAACAAGCUUAGUGGCAUUAUCAGACUUGAUACAAGGUUGUUCUAACACGUUUGACACAGUCAUGAUAUAACAAGAAUAUUACAAGGUUGACGACACAAGGUUGUAACAAUAUUGUUAUAUCAUGACUGGAUAGGACUUAUUGGAACAAGUUUGCAACAAGUCUCAAGGCUGUUGCAAGUUGUUAACAGCUUUGUUC